AGUGACUCUAACUGGAAACAUGCCGUUUUCUUUGUUAGAAUUGGCCUUUCUGUUCGGCACAGCAUUAUCAGAUCUAUGGGAUAAAGGUAAAAGCCUGACCCAUCAUAUCAGCAGAUCAUUGUCCGCUCUAAUCGGGAGUUUUCUAACAUUAUUAUCU